GAUGAACGCUGGCGGCGUGCCUAAUACAUGCAAGUCGAGCGAACGGACGAGAGUGCUUGCACUCUCUGACGUUAGCGGCGGACGGGUGAGUAACACGUGGGUAACCUACCUAUAAGACUGGGAUAACUUCGGGAAACCGGAGCUAAUACCGGAUAAUAUUUAGCUUCGCAUGAAGCAAUAGUGAAAGACGGUUCUGCUGUCACUUAUAGAUGGACCCGCGGUGUAUUAGCUAGUUGGUGAGGUAACGGCUCACCAAGGCAACGAUACAUAGCCGACCUGAGAGGGUGAUCGGCCACACUGGGACUGAGACACGGCCCAGACUCCUACGGGAGGCAGCAGUAGGGAAUCUUCCGCAAUGGACGAAAGUCUGACGGAGCAAUGCCGCGUGAGUGAAGAAGGUUUUCGGAUCGUAAAACUCUGUUGUAAGGGAAGAACAAGUACGUUAGUAACUGAACGUACCUUGACGGUACCUUACCAGAAAGCCACGGCUAACUACGUG
rnacentral:rRNA from 1 species